GCUGGCGGCGCGCCUAACACAUGCAAGUCGAACGGAGCUUAGAGAGCUUGCUUUUUAAGCUUAGUGGCGAACGGGUGAGUAACGCGUGAGUAACCUGCCCUAGAGUGGGGGACAACAGUUGGAAACGACUGCUAAUACCGCAUAAGCCCACGGUACCGCAUGGUACUGAGGGAAAAGGAUUUAUUCGCUUUAGGAUGGACUCGCGUCCAAUUAGCUAGUUGGUGAGGUAACGGCCCACCAAGGCGACGAUUGGUAGCCGGACUGAGAGGUUGAACGGCCACAUUGGGACUGAGACACGGCCCAGACUCCUACGGGAGGCAGCAGUGGGGGAUAUUGCACAAUGGGGGAAACCCUGAUGCAGCGACGCCGCGUGGAGGAAGAAGGUUUUCGGAUUGUAAACUCCUGUCGUUAGGGACGAUAAUGACGGUACCUAACAAGAAAGCACCGGCUAACUACGUGCCAGCAGCCGCGGUAAAACGUAGGGUGCAAGCGUUGUCCGGAAUUACUGGGUGUAGAGGGAGCGCAGGCGGGAAGACAAGUUGGAAGUGAAAACCAUGGGCUCAACCCAUGAAUUGCUUUCAAAACUGUUUUUCUUGAGUAGUGCAGAGGUAGAUGGAAUUCCCGGUGUAGCGGUGGAAUGCGUAGAUAUCGGGAGGAACACCAGUGGCGAAGGCGGUCUACUGGGCACCAACUGACG
rnacentral:rRNA from 1 species